rnacentral:rRNA from 1 species
UACGGAGGGAGCUAGCGUUGUUCGGAAUUACUGGGCGUAAAGGGUUCGUAGGUGGCCCGCUAAGUCACACGUGAAAUCCCUCAGCUUAACUGGGGAACUGCGUGUGAGACUGGCAGGCUUGAGUGCAGGAGAGGAACGCGGAAUUCCAGGUGUAGCGGUGAAAUGCGUAGAUAUCUGGAGGAACACCGGUGGCGAAGGCGGCGUUCUGGACUGCAACUGACACUGAGGAACGAAAGCCAGGGGAGCAAACGGG